AGCGCAGGCGGUUAGGUCAGUCUGAAGUGGAAUCCCGGGGCUCAACCUCGGACGUGCUUUGGAAACUACCUAGCUAGAGUUCGUGAGAGGAAGGCGGAAUUCCAGGUGUAGCGGUGAAAUGCGUAGAUAUCUGGAGGAACACCGGUGGCGAAAGCGGCCUUCUGGCACGAUACUGACGCUGAGGCUCGAAAGCGUGGGGAGCGAACA
rnacentral:rRNA from 1 species